GAGGCUGCAGCUCAAUGGUAGAGCAUGUGCUUAGCAGGCACGAGGCUCUAGGUUUAAUUCCCAGGCAUCUCCA
rnacentral:tRNA from 1 species